GGCAGUGGGUGGGAAUUUGGGUAUCCAGAGUGGCAGGAGCACUGGUAGGGUCUGUAUGUCCCGUGGUCUUCUGGGCACGGGUGACUAGUGAAUCUCGCGUCUCGCUGCCCGUGUUCAUUCCUCUGGCGGCAGUUGUCUUAUAGCAUGGUGGUGGUGUAAACAUGGGUGCUUGUACUGGAGGAGCCAUGGAGAGGAUACCUGCCCUUCCUCCUACUCUAAGGGGCUCUUGGCUGUGUGUUACUGUGCUGUUAUUUAGCGUACUCCACACUGCAGAAUCGGUUUGGUUAUGAGG